GCUAUUUCCAUACAAAGUACAAUAGUUGGGCUGUGUAUAGUAUUGACA
rnacentral:sRNA from 13 species